GGAGCAGCCCAGUCACAGUGAUGAAGCUGGGGGCCGAAUCUACUUGGCCACUGAGCUGAGACUUUGGUGCUGAUAGAACAAAAUGACAAAACCAGACCAAACCAAAAGGAACAUGAAGAAGAAGAAAAAGCAUGAGUGAACAAAAUACCACUAAUAAUGAAAGCAGCAGCAUAAACAAACCAAAAC